rnacentral:rRNA from 1 species
AUUGAACGCUGGCGGCAUGCCUUACACAUGCAAGUCGAACGGUAACAGGUCUUUCGGGAUGCUGACGAGUGGCGAACGGGUGAGUAAUACAUCGGAACGUGCCCAGUAAUGGGGGAUAGCUCGGCGAAAGCCGGAUUAAUACCGCAUACGCCCUGAGGGGGAAAGUGGGGGACCGCAAGGCCUCACGUUAUUGGAGCGGCCGAUGGCUGAUUAGCUAGUUGGUAGGGUAAAGGCCUACCAAGGCGACGAUCAGUAGCUGGUCUGAGAGGACGAUCAGCCACACUGGGACUGAGACACGGCCCAGACUCCUACGGGAGGCAGCAGGGGGGAAUUUUGGACAAUGGGGGAAACCCUGAUCCAGCAAUGCCGCGUGUGCGAAGAAGGCCUUCGGGUUGUAAAGCACUUUUGUCAGGGAAGAAAUCCUUUGGGCUAAUACCCUAGGGGGAUGACGGUACCUGAAGAAUAAGCACCGGCUAACUACGUGCCAGCCGCCGCCGUAAUAC